rnacentral:rRNA from 1 species
UAAGACGUAGGAGGCGAGCGUUGUCCGGAGUCACUGGGCGUAAAGGGCGCGCAGGCGGCCGCGCGCGCCGCACCGUGAAAGCCCCCGGCUCAACCGGGCGGUGGCGGGCGGGACGGCGCGGCUGGAGGGUGGCAGGGGCCGGUGGAAUUCCCGGUGUAGUGGUGAAAUGCGUAGAUACCGGGAGGAACACCCGCAGCGAAGGCGGCCGGCUGGGCCACACCCUGACGCUGAGGCGCGAAGGCCCGGGGAGCGAACGGGAUUAGAUACCCCGGUAGUCCGGGCAGUAAACGAUGUCGACUGGGUAUGCGCGGGCUUGACCCCGUGCGUGCCGGAGCCAACGCGGUAAGUCGACCGCCUGGGGAGUACGGCCGCAAGGCUA